GAUGAACGCUAGCGAUAGGCUUAACACAUGCAAGUCGAGGGGCAGCAUGGUCUUAGCUUGCUAAGACUGAUGGCGACCGGCGCACGGGUGCGUAACGCGUAUGCAACUUGCCUCACAGAGGGGGAUAACCCGUCGAAAGACGGACUAAUACCGCGUACACUUGGGAUAGGGCAUCCUGACCCAAGGAAAUGAAAUUCGCUGUGAGAUAGGCAUGCGUCCCAUUAGCUAGUUGGUGAGGUAACGGCUCACCAAGGCGACGAUGGGUAGGGGAACUGAGAGGUUGAACCCCCACACUGGUACUGAGGCACGGACCAGACUCCUACGGGAGGCAGGAGUGAGGAAUAUUGAGCAAUGGGCGAGGGCCUGAACCAGCCAAGUCGCGUGAAGGAUGACUGUCUUAUGGAUUGUAAACUUCUUUUAUACGGGAAUAGCAAGAGCCACGUGUGGCUCCCUGCAUGUACCGUAUGAAUAAGCAUCGGCUAACUCCGUG
rnacentral:rRNA from 1 species